AAGCUACUAUGGACCCUGUCAAAGUGAAGGAGAUUGUGGAUUUAAAGAUGAACAACAUCUAUCCUCCAAAAUUCACCAAAAAUCAACGCUAUGUUCUUAAAAGAAAGGCUGAGGGUUACCAGUUAAUAAGUAAGGCAACAGGACUGCGUCAAUAAUGUCAAUGAAUUUUCAAAGAUCAUUUCAAAUGUUCAUUGCAAUGCAAUCCCUAGAUGGGGAACUAUAUUAUCUGUGCCACAGAAAUCGCGACGAACAGCAGCAUCACCUUGCAAAAGUCGUUCGUACUCCAGAAGAAGCAAACAAUUUAUUUUUGGAGUUUCACACCAGUGCGAUCUGGGCCCACUGUGGAGUGGAAAAGACAAUGCAUGCCAUUAUUAGACGCUAUUACUGGCCUGGAAUGAAAGCAGACAUCACAAAAUGGAUAUCCCAAUGUGAUGACUGUCAAAAAAAGAGGACCACAAUAAAGGAGAAAACUCAGUAUAAACCGAUAGAGGUAUCACAGCCAUUUGAACUUGUUGGGAUGGACCUUGUUGGGAAGUUAAAGUGCUCCAACAAUGGAAACAUUUACAUUUGUGUCAUGGUGGACUACUUCACUAAAUGGCUCGAGGUCUAUCCCCUCAAGAGUAAAAAGGUUGAGGAAGUGACAGCGUGCAUAAUGGAUUUUUUCUAUAAGUAUGGUGCACCUAAACGAAUCUUGACUGACGGCGGUAAAGAAUUCAUCAAUAAAGUAA